GAUGAACGCUGGCGGCGUGCCUAAUACAUGCAAGUCGAGCGAACGGACGAGAAGCUUGCUUCUCUGAUGUUAGCGGCGGACGGGUGAGUAACACGUGGAUAACCUACCUAUAAGACUGGGAUAACUUCGGGAAACCGGAGCUAAUACCGGAUAAUAUUUUGAACCGCAUGGUUCAAAAGUGAAAGACGGUCUUGCUGUCACUUAUAGAUGGAUCCGCGCUGCAUUAGCUAGUUGGUAAGGUAACGGCUUACCAAGGCAACGCUGCAUAGCCGACCUGAGAGGGUGAUCGGCCACACUGGAACUGAGACACGGUCCAGACUCCUACGGGAGGCAGCAGUAGGGAAUCUUCCGCAAUGGGCGAAAGCCUGACGGAGCAACGCCGCGUGAGUGAUGAAGGUCUUCGGAUCGUAAAACUCUGUUAUUAGGGAAGAACAUAUGUGUAAGUAACUGUGCACAUCUUGACGGUACCUAAUCAGAAAGCCACGGCUAACUACGUGCCAGCAGCCGCGGUAAUACGUAGGUGGCAAGCGUUAUCCGGAAUUAUUGGGCGUAAAGCGCGCGUAGGCGGUUUUUUAAGUCUGAUGUGAAAGCCCACGGCUCAACCGUGGAGGGUCAUUGGAAACUGGAAAACUUGAGUGCAGAAGAAGGAAGUGGAAUUCCAUGUGUAGCGGUGAAAUGCGCAGAGAUAUGGAGGAAACACAGUGGCGAAGGCGACUUUCUGGUCUGUAACUGACGCUGAUGUGCGAAAGCGUGGGAUCAAAACAGGAUUAGAUACCCUGGUAGUCCACGCCGUAAACGAUGAGUGCUAAGUGUUAGGGGGUUUCCGCCCCUUAGUGCUGCAGCUAACGCAUUAAGCACUCCGCCUGGGGAGUACGACCGCAAGGUUGAAACUCAAAGGAAUUGACGGGGACCCGCACAAGCGGUGGAGCAUGUGGUUUAAUUCGAAGCAACGCGAAGAACCUUACCAAAUCUUGACAUCCUUUGACAACUCUAGAGAUAGAGCCUUCCCCUUCGGGGGACAAAGUGACAGGUGGUGCAUGGUUGUCGUCAGCUCGUGUCGUGAGAUGUUGGGUUAAGUCCCGCAACGAGCGCAACCCUUAAGCUUAGUUGCCAUCAUUAAGUUGGGCACUCUAAGUUGACUGCCGGUGACAAACCGGAGGAAGGUGGGGAUGACGUCAAAUCAUCAUGCCCCUUAUGAUUUGGGCUACACACGUGCUACAAUGGACAAUACAAAGGGCAGCGAAACCGCGAGGUCAAGCAAAUCCCAUAAAGUUGUUCUCAGUUCGGAUUGUAGUCUGCAACUCGACUACAUGAAGCUGGAAUCGCUAGUAAUCGUAGAUCAGCAUGCUACGGUGAAUACGUUCCCGGGUCU
rnacentral:rRNA from 1 species